GAUGAACGCUGGCGGCGUGCCUAACACAUGCAAGUCGAGCGAGGGUUUGCUCAGUAUUGAGUAUUCUAAGACUAGAAUGUUCAAUUCUGAGCAAAACCAAGCGGCGGACGAGUGAGUAACGCGUGGGUAACCUGCCCUAUACACAUGGAUAACAUACUGAAAAGUUUACUAAUACAUGAUAAUAUAUAUUUGCGGCAUCGCAGAUAUAUCAAAGUGUUAGCGGUAUAGGAUGGACCCGCGUCUGAUUAGCUAGCUGGUGAGAUAACUGCCCACCAAGGCGACGAUCAGUAGCCGACCUGAGAGGGUGAUCGGCCACAUUGGAACUGAGACACGGUCCAAACUCCUACGGGAGGCAGCAGUGGGGAAUAUUGCACAAUGGGCGAAAGCCUGAUGCAGCAACGCCGCGUGAACGAUGAAGGUCUUCGGAUCGUAAAGUUCUGUUGCAGGGGAAGAUAAUGACGGUACCCUGUGAGGAAGCCCCGGCUAACUACGUGCCAGCAGCCGCGGUAAUACGUAGGGGGCUAGCGUUAUCCGGAUUUACUGGGCGUAAAGGGUGCGUAGGUGGUCCUUCAAGUCGGUGGUUAAAGGCUACGGCUCAACCGUAGUAAGCCGCCGAAACUGGAGAACUUGAGUGCAGGAGAGGAAAGUGGAAUUCCCAGUGUAGCGGUGAAAUGCGUAGAUAUUGGGAGGAACACCAGUAGCGAAGGCGGCUUUCUGGACUGCAACUGACACUGAGGCACGAAAGCGUGGGUAGCAAACAGG
rnacentral:rRNA from 1 species